GACGAACGCUGGCGGCGUGCCUAAUACAUGCAAGUCGAGCGAGACCCUUCGGGGUCUAGCGGCGGACGGGUGAGUAACACGUGGGCAACCUGCCUGUAAGACUGGGAUAACACCGGGAAACCGGUGCUAAUACCGGAUAAUCCUUUUCCUCUCAUGAGGGAAAGUUAAAAGACGGCGUAAGCUGUCACUUACAGAUGGGCCCGCGGCGCAUUAGCUAGUUGGUGAGGUAACGGCUCACCAAGGCGACGAUGCGUAGCCGACCUGAGAGGGUGAUCGGCCACACUGGGACUGAGACACGGCCCAGACUCCUACGGGAGGCAGCAGUAGGGAAUCUUCCGCAAUGGACGAAAGUCUGACGGAGCAACGCCGCGUGAGCGAUGAAGGCCUUCGGGUCGUAAAGCUCUGUUGUUAGGGAAGAACAAGUACCGGAGUAACUGCCGGUACCUUGACGGUACCUAACCAGAAAGCCACGGCUAACUACGUGCCAGCAGCCGCGGUAAUACGUAGGUGGCAAGCGUUGUCCGGAAUUAUUGGGCGUAAAGCGCGCGCAGGCGGUCCUUUAAGUCUGAUGUG
rnacentral:rRNA from 1 species